UACGUAGGUGGCAAGCGUUGUUCGGAAUUAUUGGGCGUAAAGGGCGCGUAGGCGGUUUGUUAAGUCGGCUGUGAAAGCCCGGGGCUCAACCCCGGAGGGUCAGCCGAUACUGGCAGGCUAGAGUACGGAAUAGGUAGCUGGAAUUCCCGGUGUAGCGGUGAAAUGCGUAGAUAUUGGGAGGAACACCAGUGGCGAAGGCGGCUCACUGGACCGGUACUGACGCUGAGGCGCGAAAGCGUGGGGAGCAAACAGG
rnacentral:rRNA from 1 species